UUGAAUACUGGUGUCUCAACGGACAAAAC
rnacentral:piRNA from 1 species